UAGGUUAUGAACCUUAGGUGGGGGAACAACCUUAGGUAGUAGCCUUAUAGAAAGAAGAUAGUGUUGGAAAACUCUUAUCGAGUUAUAAGAAAUGAAUUUCUGUAAUUCAUUGAAGUUAAUAAAAGACCUUAUGUGUUAUGUGUUAAAGUAUGCGUUAGAUGAUACGACUUAGUAACUAAAACUUAAAAUUUUGUUGUCAGGAUGUCGAAUGUUGG
rnacentral:lncRNA from 1 species